CCUACGGGAGGCAGCAGUGAGGAAUAUUGGACAAUGGGCGCAAGCCUGAUCCAGCCAUGCCGCGUGCAGGAAGACGGUCCUAUGGAUUGUAAACUGCUUUUGUACAGGAAGAAACACUCCCUCGUGAGGGAGCUUGACGGUACUGUAAGAAUAAGGAUCGGCUAACUCCGUGCCAGCAGCCGCGGUAAUACGGAGGAUCCAAGCGUUAUCCGGAAUCAUUGGGUUUAAAGGGUCCGUAGGCGGUUUAAUAAGUCAGUGGUGAAAUCUGGUCGCUCAACGAUCAAACGGCCAUUGAUACUGUUAGACUUGAAUUAUUAGGAAGUAACUAGAAUAUGUAGUGUAGCGGUGAAAUGCUUAGAUAUUACAUGGAAUACCAAUUGCGAAGGCAGGUUACUACUAAUGGAUUGACGCUGAUGGACGAAAGCGUGGGGAGCGAACAGGAUUAGAUACCCUGGUAGUCCACGCCGUAAACGAUGGAUACUAGCUGUUCGGAGCAAUCUGAGUGGCUAAGCGAAAGUGAUAAGUAUCCCACCUGGGGAGUACGUUCGCAAGAAUGAAACUCAAAGGAAUUGACGG
rnacentral:rRNA from 1 species